rnacentral:lncRNA from 1 species
CCGGGACGAAUCUGGUCUACCGGGCUGCACAGGACAGGGGCGCUUGGGGGUGGCCUCACCUAGUGGGCUGAGGCCCAGUCAGUGUAAGAGGAUGCAGGCCGGCUGGAUCGAAUGAGGUGGAGGGGGCGCGGUCAACGGGUGCUGCGGGGUCGAGCACUGCUCGAUGCAGCGCGAUGCGGAGGCGGGGAGCAGAGGCAACGGCGGGAACGGCGAGGGCAACGGCCCUCCGGAUCUGGCUGGCGCGAGCAUGGACGGCCACGCGACGAGAUGCGGUGCUGGAGCUUCGAGGCCUAGGUGGUUCGGGCGUCCAUGGACUCCUGAAGCUCCUGUUCGUCUGAAGAAACAGAGAGGCAGCGAGGUAAGGAAAUGAGAAGAACCGGGAGAAGAAGGAAAUAGAAAGAGAGGCGCGAGGAUCUGGUCCGGCGGCGGUCUGCAGGUGCGGGCGCAGGAGGAGCUCAGGGCUCUGGUGCAGCUUGGGCGCCAGAGGAGCUCCACGCGGCUGCGGGCUGGAGGUCGAAAAGGAGCUCCUCUCUUUGGGUUCGGGCGAGGCAAGGAGGAGGAAUCGCUCGGGCAGGAGAUGGCCAGGGAUCAAGUGGAGGCGUGGGGAGGUGGAUUUGGAUCGGGGCGAGGUGGAGGCUGCCGGUUGGGGUGGUGCUGAAAACGAAGGAGGAAGUGGUGGCUGGCAGUGGAUCGGGGAAGAUCCCGAGGUGGAAGAGAACUGGCGGCGGCGGCGGCUGAGGGGAUUUGGUGGAUGGGACAAGGCUCCUAAAUUCUAGGGUUAGGUAGGUAGGUGGUCUAUUUAUAGACAGAGGAGAAAGGUUUAGGGACUCAUCGAUUUAGAUCCGACGGUCAGAAGAAUAGGCUAGGGAAAACAAAUAAGAAACCGAAGAUAUUUAGGGGAUGAUUGGAGAUGAUCCGGACCCAUCGAUGAUGACUGAGCGGGUCGGGUUUGGGGCAGUUUCGGACACACGCAAAGGGGUUGGUGGCUGAGCAGAGAGGGUGGGCAUGAGAGGUUAGGUGGUCACGGUCAAGAGGGAAGCAAAAACCCGAUUAGUCUCGGAACAGUCAACGCAAGCAGGGGUGACGCGGCAACUAACAACGGAUGCACAUUUUAUGAAAACAUGCAGACGCAAUGCGCAUGAUGCUAUGAGAUAAAAUGCAAGACAUGAACAAAAUGCAAAACAAAAGACAAAAACCCAACCACGAAGAAAAUAUCAUAUCGCAUCUCCGGAAAAGGCAAGAGUUGGAGUUACGAAUAUGAAAAGUUGUAUCCGGAGCGUUACAACUGCAUCUCCGGCGCCGCGCCACUGACCCGCCGGAGCCGUGUCUCGCUGAAUCGCCGGCCUCGAACCGCCCCUUCCGAUGAGCCGCCACCACCGGAGCUCGCCCCCGUGGCCCUGUAUCGCCGAUCCACAGGCUGGCCACCGCUGUUGCCUUGCGUCUUGAGCUGGCCCCGUCGUCGAAAAGCCCCGGCCUUGCCUCCGCUGCUGAUUCUUCCGCCGUCCCGGCCCGUGGGCAGCCGUCUACCUGAGCCUCCGCUGCGGCCUCUCCCCAUCGGCGUCAUCUCCACUUCAUCGGCCCGCGGCCGUGCCUCAGAGCCGCCUGCGUGUCGCCUCCGGGUUGUGCCGACCAUGCCUCGACCGCCGCUUCAGCCGCUGCUGCGGCCCCGUUCUUCCCGCGGCCAUGCCGGCCGGUGAGUGGCACCAACGCGUGGAGCUUCGGCAGCAGCUUUUGGGCGCGUCCAUGGGCCAUGGCAGAGAUAGCAGUAGGAGGCGAGAGCUACGGGACGAGAAGAAUCGAUAGGGAUACAGGCGAAGAUAAUGUGCCAUGGAAAUAGUGCUGGGAGGAGUGGCUCUCGCUGGAGCUAAG